UGAAUUUUAGUUAAAUAAUAACAUCAGAUUGUCACACUGAAAUUGUCUUACAAAUUCUU
rnacentral:tRNA from 1 species